GUACGGUCGCAAGAUUAAAACUCAAAGGAAUAGACGGGGACCCGCACAAGCGGUGGAGCAUGUGGUUUAAUUCGAAGAUACGCGAAGAACCUUACCUGGGCUUGAUAUCCUAAGAACCUUAUAGAGAUAUGAGGGUGCUAGCUUGCUAGAACUUAGAGACAGGUGCUGCACGGCUGUCGUCAGCUCGUGUCGUGAGAUGUUGGGUUAAGUCCCGCAACGAGCGCAACCCACGUAUUUAGUUGCUAACGGUUCGGCCGAGCACUCUAAAUAGACUGCCUUCGUAAGGAGGAGGAAGGUGUGGACGACGUCAAGUCAUCAUGGCCCUUAUGCCCAGGGCGACACACGUGCUACAAUGGCAUAUACAAUGAGACGCAAUACCGCGAGGUGGAGCAAAUCUAUAAAAUAUGUCCCAGUUCGGAUUGUUCUCUGCAACUCGAGAGCAUGAAGCCGGAAUCGCUAGUAAUCGUAGAUCAGCCAUGCUACGGUGAAUACGUUCCCGGGUCUUGUACUCACCGCCCGUCACACCAUGGGAGUUGAUUUCACUCGAAGCCGGAAUACUAAACUAGUUACCGUCCACAGUGGAAUCAGCGACUGGGGUGAAGUCGUAACAAGGUAACCGUAGGAGAACCUGCGGUUGGAUCACCUCCUUUCUA
rnacentral:rRNA from 1 species